UCAGAACGAACGCUGGCGGCAGGCUUAACACAUGCAAGUCGAGCGCCCCGCAAGGGGAGCGGCAGACGGGUGAGUAACGCGUGGGAACGUACCCUUUACUACGGAAUAACGCAGGGAAACUUGUGCUAAUACCGUAUGUGCCCUUCGGGGGAAAGAUUUAUCGGUAAGGGAUCGGCCCGCGUUGGAUUAGCUAGUUGGUGGGGUAAAGGCCUACCAAGGCGACGAUCCAUAGCUGGUCUGAGAGGAUGAUCAGCCACAUUGGGACUGAGACACGGCCCAAACUCCUACGGGAGGCAGCAGUGGGGAAUAUUGGACAAUGGGCGCAAGCCUGAUCCAGCCAUGCCGCGUGAGUGAUGAAGGCCCUAGGGUUGUAAAGCUCUUUCACCGGAGAAGAUAAUGACGGUAUCCGGA
rnacentral:rRNA from 1 species